rnacentral:rRNA from 1 species
UCGAGGAUUUUUCUCAAUGGGCGAAAGCCUGAAGGAGCGACGCCGCGUGGGGGAUGAAGGUCUUCGGAUUGUAAACCCCUGUCACCUGGGAUCAAGGCUCCGCACCUAACACGUGCGGAGUUGAUAGUACCAGGAGAGGAAGCCGUGGCUAACUCUGUGCCAGCAGCCGCGGUAAUACAGAGACGGCGAGCGUUGUUCGGAUUCAUUGGGCGUAAAGGGUGCGCAGGCGGCUGGGCAAGUCGGAUGUGAAAUCUCACAGCCUAACUGUGAAUGGUCAUUCGAAACUGCCCGGCUUGAGGGCUGGAGAGGAGACUGGAAUUGUCGGUGUAGCGGUGAAAUGCGUAGAGAUCGACAAGAACACCGGUGGCGAAGGCGGGUCUCUGGACAGUUCCUGACGCUCAGGCACGAAAGCUAGGGGAGCAAACGGG